UACGAAGGGGGCAAGCGUUGUUCGGAAUUACUGGGCGUAAAGGGCGCGUAGGCGGCUUACCAAGUCAGGCGUGAAAUUCCCGGGCUCAACCUGGGGGCUGCGCUUGAUACUGGUGAGCUUGAAUGCGGGAGAGGAUAGUGGGAAUUCCCAGUGUAGAGGUGAAAUUCGUAGAUAUUGGGAAGAACACCGGUGGCGAAGGCGGCAUCCUGGACCGGUAUUGACGCUGAGGCGCGGAAAGCCAGGGGAGCAAAGCGGGG
rnacentral:rRNA from 1 species